AUGAUGUUCAAGCUUCUUGGAUCUGAUUCCGAUUGCCAUGAUGAAAUGCAAAUGCUAAAUGACCUAAAAAAUGAAUGCAUGCAUGAGGUGUAAAGCGUAUGCUUCCAGGAAAAAUGAAGGGUAAAUUUUGGGGUAUUACAACAUGGUGCAAUUAAGCUGCUUGGAAUGUUGUGUUAUGUUAUGGAAAUUUGAAGGUGAAAUAUAUUGGUCUUUGCUCUGCUAUGUGAAUGCAAGUGAAUCAUGUUAAAAAAACGUAAGUGAAUCAUAUU
rnacentral:lncRNA from 1 species